rnacentral:rRNA from 1 species
UGGGGAAUCUUGUGCGCAAUGGGCGAAAGCCUGACGGAGCGACGCCGCGGUGAAGGAAGAAGGCCUUCGGGUUGUAAACUCCUUUUCUGGGGGAAAAAGCCCCGGGUACGGGGAUGAAGGUACCCGGGUAAUACCGCGGGCCCACUCACGGGGAAAUACCCGGGUAUAAAA